AUCCAACUGAUGAGUCCUAAAUAGGACAAAAUGCUCUUCCUGAAU
rfam:Schistosoma mansoni, Puerto Rico, WGS project CABG01000000 data, contig: 0147